UACGGAGGGUGCAAGCGUUAAUCGGAAUUACUGGGCGUAAAGCGUGCGCAGGCGGUUUGUUAAGUCUGCUGUGAAAUCCCCGAGCUCAACUUGGGAAUUGCAGUGGAUACUGGCAAGCUGGAGUACGGUAGAGGAAGGUGGAAUUCCCGGUGUAGCAGUGAAAUGCGUAGAGAUCGGGAGGAACACCAGUGGCGAAGGCGGCCUUCUGGACCAGUACUGACGCUGAGGCACGAAAGCUAGGGGAGCAAACAGG
rnacentral:rRNA from 1 species